UUUCCUGUCAGAUCGACCUUCACACUUCAGAGGGAUUUCUGUCUGGGAGUGAGUGUAAAUCUCAUCCGGUGUUUCUAGCAUCAUGGUGGAGUUGGCUUUCUACCCGGCUGUGGCACUGAUAUAUUUUUUUGGAGUGAUGAACGCAACGCAGAAUGACCGGGUGGAGCUGGACGACCGGGCGUCAAUGAACGUGUUCUGUCUGUUUGUGUUGGCACAGCCAUUAUGUCUGGUACUGGGAGGAUACACUGGCAUGGCUACAUACCUCAUCACAGCUCUGGUCUCCUACAACUUCCUGCCUUGGAGGGAGACAAAACAGCCUGCAAAGGGAAAAGACUCAAAGAAAAAAACAAACUGAGAACCCGGAACGUGCACUGUGUGGAGAUGAAGAGACAGUGGAUCCAAACAGGUUGCAAAAGAGAAAACUUUUUUAUGUAACGAAUAUGCAUUGAAAGUGAAAAUCUUUUCCUAUAUGAAUAAAGGAAUCUGUUAAUCUGCAGCCUUGCUUAACCACACAGUAGUUUUUAAACCUGCUUACACAAAAGUGUUUCUCAUCUGCAGUUGUAAACAUCUAUGAGAAAGUACAUUAUCCAUGGACAUUCAGUCCUCCUCUACAGAGGAAGUGACUCAUUUUACAAUUCCUGAUGCAGCAAUAGGGUUUAUUUUCGACAAAAUGGAUGGAUCAGUCUUUAGUUUCCAUAACACAUAAUAACCACAAUGGAGGAACUGACAAACAGAGCAGCACCAAAUACAGAAAAACCAUAUCAACUGAAAAACUAACAAUCUGUUUUUGCAAAAAAUCUCUAGACCAAAAAUUCAACAUAACCUUUCCAAGACGGAAAAUAAAACUAAAUUAUUUCAGCUGAAAGUUAGAUAAGAAGAUUGAAACCACUCUAUGUUUGUAUGGUUAAAAUAAAGGUAACAGCUAGCCUAGCUCUGUCCAAAGGCAACACCUACCGCACCUCACCUAAAGCUAAUUAACAUGUUUAUUAGUUUAAAAGUGUAAAAACAAGUUCUGAUUUUGUAGACCAUUAUGUGUCAGGUUAUUUCUUGGUCAGUCACUUCCUGAAGGCCUCCUUAUGGCAAUGACAAGUAUCCAGGAAGAGAGAUAUUACGUGCAGCUAUGGACUGUCAGGCUAGCUUAUGCUAAGCUAGCUAUAUAUUCACCGGACAAAUAUGAGAGUGGUAUCAAUCUUCUUGAUUGAUUCUGGGAAAGAAAGGGAAUAAUAAUAAUAAGUGAAAUUAUUCCUUUAAUGGACCAGUGAGUAGGAUUUAGUGGCAAUCUCUCAUCCUUGACAUGGCUGACUUUAUAGUCGUCUAUGGUGUGUAAUUUCUACUAAACAUAAUUAUAACUCAAUGGAUACCUAACCCCAAAAUGGAUGUGACCGAUCUUUUAAUGAAUAAAGCAUUAAACGCAUUAAACGCAUUCAUGAACACUGCCUGCAAAUCUCCCCCACAAAAACACAUUAUUACACUACAAAACAAAAAAAUUGCAUUGUGUUUUUUAAUUAUCCACCCAUGUUCAUGAAUGACUGUGUGUCCCUCUGAUGUGGCUAAAUCUGGUAGUGUGGAGAGUGCUGUGUGUGUGCUGUGUAAAACCGGACUCAAAGAGAGAGUGUAUAAUGGGAUUAGACCAUGCAAUUUAGUUGAUAGUCCGAGGCUUUGUUCAGUGGCCGUGCAGAUGCUCGCUGUAUGUAUCUGAGAAACAGUGGGGAUGAUUUUUUGAAGAUGUUUAUGACUUCCCUCAGCAUUCAAAUCUUUAAAUUUUCCAGUCUCUGAAUGUGUUGUUUGUCUUUCACAGUACCCUUUUUACCUUAUUUUUCUUUUUACUUAAGUGUGAAUUUAUAAGGUGAUAACCCAUUGCGUCAAGCAUUUGCCAUAAAUGUUGUUUUUUCGCUGUUAUUGGUACAUGUUCUAUCUCCUGUACAAGAUGUUUGUGUGCAGUGUUCACAGUGUAUCUUGCUUAUUGUCAUGUCAGUGCUACCUUCUGCAUCCUCCAUUAUUUAAAAAUAGCAUAAAUAGCCUGAACCACUGCUCACGUAUUGCCUUUUUCCCAGCAUUCUUUUCAUUCCCCAGCCAGUCCUCUUAGCUGAAUUACUUCCACUUGUUGUUCAUCUAUCCAUUUCAAUCUUUCUCCACAUCCAAGUUUGUUUCCAUGAUGCUGCUAAUUAUCAGUCUACUCGAUUUAUUUGUCUUCUUCAGUUCCUUUUCAACAUCUGAUCUCACUCCCAUUAUCAUGGACAAGAGCUGUAUUUACCAAUCAACAAAAACUUUCAUGCAGAUUUUUUCUAGUGUAUCAUUUAAUUAAUCAAGUUUGAUUAAACUGGACUGACGUGAAGAUAAGUGA